GACGAACGCUGGCGGCGUGCUUAACACAUGCAAGUCGAACGAAGUGGCGAACGGGUGAGUAACGCGUAAUCAACCUGCCCUUCAGAGGGGAACACCAGUUGGAACCGACUGCUCAUACCGCAUACUGAAGGAGGGGCUUGCGUCUGAUUAGCUAGUUGGAGGGGUAACGGCCCACCAAGGCGAUGAUCAGUCGCCGGGCGGAGAGGAUGAACGGCCACAUUUGGACGGAGACACGGCCCAGACUCCUACGGGAGGGAGCAGUGGGGAAUCUUCCGAAAUGGAGGAAAGUCUGACGGAGCAAAGCCGCGGGAUUGAUGAAGGCCUUCGGGGUGUAAAGCUCUGUUAAGCGGGACGCGGUACCGGAAUAGAAAGCCACGGCUAACUACGUGCCAGCCGCCGCGGUAAUUC
rnacentral:rRNA from 1 species